GUGCAAAGGAGGGAAGGGAAGGCUGUGGUGCCGAAAGAGAAUCACUGAACCUGGGUUGCCCUCUUAGCCUCUGAGAAAAGAUUGCAGAAAGAGCAGCUCUGGAACCAGGAAAAAUGACAAGCUUUUGCUACAGCUGUGAAAAUGCAUGGAGCCUUUAGGCUACUGGUAUGCUGAGCUUCCAAGAAAUGAUGGAAGUGGCUGAAGAGGAUGACCAAUUUUCUUCUUGUUUCUAGCUGUGUGUCAUCCCAAAGUCACUAAACUGGGAAGUGGACAGUGGCAAGAUGUCCUUAGUGAAGCUCAUGGAAGUCAGAGGAAUAAGAAAUUAAGGCAUCUGAUGACUUGCAUCUUUUCAAGAAAAAUUGUCUACUUGCAAUAUUUGCAUGAUGAGAUGUAUACAAGACAUCAAUCAUCCCACCUUAUGACUUGCAUAAGCAUAAGGUGUACUUUGUUUCACUAAGAGCCAAGAUCAUAAUUUCAAGCCAGAGACAUUUGUAAUUCUUUACUCAUAAACUACACCAAAGUUCCUCAGAGUAAAUAUGACAGUAAUUUAUUAGCUUUGAGACUGACAGAGAAUCAGGUCUGUCAGUGAAAUGUGCUGUCCAACUGGUACCUUUUAAGCAGCACUGGUAAAUUAAGGGAGACUUUCAAAAAUGGACAUUCACAAAAUUACCUGCAUAUGGUGCUUAAUAAUAAAUAAUAAAUAAUGUACAUAUAGAAACUUAGCAGAAGUGAUAAUAGAUUAUGGAUCCUUUCACCAGAGGAUCUGGCCUGGUUUAGUAGUGAAUAGAGUUAUUUGAUGUCUGUUGUUUGCCUGGCCUCUGCAAUAAUAACAUGUAAUUUUUAGUUCAGGUUUUACUUAGACAAAAAAGUCACUGUUUAUAUUUUCACUCUUUCUAGCCACUUUGUUAUUUAUGAAGAAGCCAUUAGGUUUUUUGGGCAUGAUGGCAAAAUGGUUUAAGUACUCACCUAUACCUUCAGAAGUGGAAGUAUGACACUGUAAAUGGGUAAUUAAUGUUGUAGGUUGAGGAAGUCAAAACGUUUGGAUAUAAUAGUAGUCACAAUGCUGCCUGGUGUGUCAUUGGAUACAGAUAGGCUAUCAACAACUCAGCUCAGGAGGAUCAGGAAGAUCUUUACUCCUUUCAAGGCUGUAGCUAAUCAGUAUCUAUAGUGAGCCCAGUUCAGUAUGAGGGAUGAAAAGCCUUCUCCUUUCUGGAUGUAGACUGCCUAUGUCCGGACAAUGAGCCAGAGAUUGCAUUACUAUUCUGCAGAUAAACAUAGGAAUUUGGAUCCCAAUACUUCUAUCCUGGCAUUCUUAUAAGAACUAACUUGGCAUAUUAGGCAUGACAUGUUGAUGGGACUUCACUGCAGAGUGUAUUUUACACAGCUUGUAUUGCUACUGAUAAGAAGUCACUGAGUGAAUGCACUGCACACCAUUAUCUAUAUCACUACUCAGUCCAGCUGAUCUGAUACAUUCCCUUAUCAGAUAAUUCCCCACUAAAUCAAGUUUUGUUUUCUGUCAACUCCUUGUGAUAAUGAUCAAAGUUGCCUGCAGUUAAAUAGAUCUCUGUUAAAUCAAAUGGUUUAUUGGGUGGUUUAAUUUUUUUGAUAAAUGCAUUAUUUAUUAAGUCAAGCACUGUUAUUUGUGACACUGGCUAAUUCCAGCUGGGAUAUGUGCCAAGGGGCCUCUCAUCUAGCAGUGUGGCCCUGUAAGAGCCAGCACUUCCACUACUGGAUCUUGACACUGCUUUUCAGCAUACUCUGCAAUGCUUGAAUCUGUUCCUCAGAGAAAGGGCUUGUGGGACUUUUCUAGGAUUUCAGUACUGCUGAAAGUCAGAUGUUCAAACCAUAAAAAACAAUGUUGAUAUACUUCCUGAGGCUUCAUGACAGCUCGAGUCCCAGAAGUGUUUGUGUAUGAAAGCCUAAAGGUAAACUUUAGUCCAGAUCUUCUGCAAAGUACCUUUGUGCUGUGAAGCUGGCCCAGAGAUAUAUUUUUUCACAUGGUAUUCCUCACCUACAUUAGUAUCUUAUUUAGUCUACAGAUGCAAUGCAAUGCAAUGCAUGUAUCAGUUGUAUAUCAGCUGCACAGAUGCAGCAGGCAUGCUGUGUAAUGUAUAGUAUAGAGCGUUCUAAAGUAAUCAAUGCUGUCUCUUUGGUACAUCUUUCUUAAAAAGCACUCAUGAGCAAAGAGAUUGUUCACCACAGGCACAGAAAAUAUUGCAAGAAGGGCAUAUUCAAGAAGCAACACAAAAUGAGCCAGUCAAGUAGCAAAGCAGUAAGUCUUUGUGAUCUAAAGCUCUGGUCUGACUCAGAUUCCCAGCACUGGCACAAAGGAGACUAGACACACAGCAGAGGUGAUAUAGUUAGUCUUGUGGAGGAGAGAUGGAAUACAUCAUUCUUAUACAUCCGCAAACAGACAUCUAAAGGAAUUCAGCUCAUUUCUCUCAAGUAAAAGGCUUACAAGUUGUGAAAAGCUAAGUGAGUGUCACUGGCAAACCCAUUAUAGGAUUCUGACUAUUCCAUUAAAAUGUAUUAUGGAGGUGUGUUCUUGCUGUUAGAGUUAAGAUACUGGCAAUUUCACUAGAAACUCUGUGUUUUUAAACUCUAUGACAUACAAAAUUUCUGCUUUGAAAUGCUAUGUUACUGCUAAUACCUGAAUUUUUCUUUUUGGCUAAUAGUUAUAAUAAAAGAUUAGCUUGACCAUUUCUUAAACUAUGCUAUGGAACCCAAAUUAGGCCCUAUGCUACAAAAGUACCAUUCUCUUACAAUGUACUUCAGUAUGUGUAAAACAAAAGAGUGGUUGGUUUUAUUCUUAUUUGGGUGGGGAUUCUCUCUGAAAAUUAUUUGUUCAGUUCAGAGCAGUGCAUUGCACUGGGGCCUUCAGGUCAUACUGCGUUGUGAAUACUGUUGGGUGAUAAUA